CCUACGGGUGGCAGCAGUGAGGAAUAUUGGUCAAUGGACGAGAGUCUGAACCAGCCAAGUAGCGUGAAGGAUGACUGCCCUAUGGGUUGUAAACUUCUUUUAUAUGGGAAUAAAAUGUUCCACGUGUGGGAAUUUGUCUGUACCAUAUGAAUAAGGAUCGGCUAACUCCGUGCCAGCAGCCGCGGUAAUACGGAGGAUCCGAGCGUUAUCCGGAUUUAAGGGGUUUAAAGGGAGCGUAGGCGGAUUGUUAAGUCAGUUGUGAAAGUGUGCGGCUCAACCGUCAAAUGGCAGUUGAAACUGGAAGUCUUGAGUACAGUAGAGGUAGGCGGAAUGCGUGGGGUAGCGGUGAAAUGCUUAGAUAUCACGAAGAACUCCGAUUGCGAAGGCAGCUCACUGGACUGCAACUGACACUGAGGCUCGAAAGUGUGGGUAGCGAACAGGAUUAGAUACCCUAGUAGUC
rnacentral:rRNA from 1 species